UGGCAAACGCUGUAGUUAAUAUAGAGGAAAGUCCAUGCUUGCACUAUCCUGAAAUGGUAGUAGUGAUUGUGCAUAGGGAAAAAAUAACCUAUGGUAGUUUAAAACUAACGGCGUCGAAAUAAUCUAUUUUUAGAUUAGAGUAGACUUAAAGUGCCACAGUGACGAAACUUCUAGUGAUAGAAGGGUGAAACGCGGUAAACCCCACAAGCAAGAAACCCAAAUUAUGGUAGGGGAGUUUAAAGUAGGGAAUAAAACUUACUUUAGAACCAGUGAUGGUAGAUAGAUGUUUGCCACUCUUUAUAGAGGACAGAACAUGGCUUAUAA
rnacentral:RNase_P_RNA from 1 species